rnacentral:rRNA from 1 species
GAGUUUGAUCCUGGCUCAGAACGAACGCUGGCGGCAUGCCUAACACAUGCAAGUCGAACGGGAUCCGGACUUCGGUCUGGUGAGAGUGGCGGACGGGUGAGUAACGCGUGGGAACCUGCCCAAUGGUCUGGGAUAACCGCGGGAAACUGCGGCUAAUACCGGAUAAGCCCGAGAGGGGAAAGAUUUAUCGCCGAUGGAGGGGCCCGCGUCCGAUUAGGUAGUUGGUGAGGUAACGGCUCACCCAGCCGACGAUCGGUAGCUGGCCUGAGAGGAUGAUCAGCCACACUGGGACUGAGAUACGGCCCAGACUCCUACGGGAGGCAGCAGUGGGGAAUAUUGGACAAUGGGGGCAACCCUGAUCCAGCAAUGCCGCGUGAGUGAUGAAGGCCUUAGGGUUGUAAAGCUCUUUUGGCGGGACGAUGAUGACGGUACCCGCAGAAUAAGCCCCGGCUAACUUCGUGCCAGCAGCCGCCG